rnacentral:tRNA from 1 species
GGAUCCGUAGCUCAGCUGGGUAGAGUACUCGGCUACGAGCCGAGCGGUCGGAAGCUCGAAUCCCCCCGGAUGCACCA